GAGUUUGAUCAUGGCUCAGGAUGAACGCUAGCGGCAGGCUUAAUACAUGCAAGUCGAGGGGCAUCAGCUUAUAGCAAUAUAGGGCUGGCGACCGGCAAACGGGUGCGGAACACGUACAUAACCUUCCUUUAAGAGGGGGAUAGCCCAUAGAAAUGUGGAUUAAUACCCCGUAAGAUAGUGGGAUGGCAUCAUACUACUAUUAUAGUUACGACGCUUGAAGAUGGGUGUGCGUCUGAUUAGGUAGUUGGCGGGGUAAAGGCCCACCAAGCCUUCGAUCAGUAGCUGAUGUGAGAGCAUGAUCAGCCACACGGGCACUGAGACACGGGCCCGACUCCUACGGGAGGCAGCAGUAAGGAAUAUUGGUCAAUGGACGCAAGUCUGAACCAGCCAUGCCGCGUGAAGGAUGAAGGUCCUCUGGAUUGUAAACUUCUUUAUAGGGGCGAAGAAAGGGAAAUCUUUCUCACUUGACAGUACCCUAUGAAUAAGCACCGGCUAACUCCGUGCCAG
rnacentral:rRNA from 1 species